AUCGAUGUAGGGAAGACGUCUAGGAACCAAGUUCUAAGAUGGUUUACACGCCAUUAGGUUACUCGAGUGGUUUCCGUGAGUCGUUAUCAUUUGCUUUUUAUGUUUUUACGUAAUUGAUAUAUACUUUGUUGAAAAAUUUCUAAACACAACGCAUAUAUAAUUAUGAUCAGGACGCUUUUUUUUUCUUUCUGCCGUCCUUUAUGGCUUUCAGAAGCAAUUUUUGUUUGUCUUGAUUUCGCAUCUGCACUUUUAACGUGUUUGAACCUUACAUUGAUGAUAUACGUGCUGUGAAAUCUUUUAGUGAAUUGGUUCCUUGGGCAAGUGGAUGUAGGUUCUCGUGUUCUGGAGCCAGAACACUCUAAAAUCUGUCUUGCUUCUCCUGAUCUUCUUAAGUACUCUUUUCCUGUCUUAAUUUGCGACGGUCAUCGGAAGAUUCUUAGAUUAAUCUUCAACAUUACUAAAAGAAGCGUUCAUUGAAGAAACAUUUUAUUGGCUGAUGGAAAUGAAAUUCUCCUUGUACCUGUUUUCUGCCUUGUUAUUAUAAUUUUGGAGAUAGUUUUGCUUAGCUUCUGCAUUUCACCUUCUCAUUGCAUACUGAAUCCUGCGGUGUCCAUUUUCUGCCUUCUGCAGGCUCUUGAAGCAGUGAAAAGUAUGUCCAAAGCAAGUCAUGCUAAUUGGAAUGGGUCAUGUAUUUGAUCGCCACGUGAUAAUGAGUUUCUUAACCAAUGGUCUAUAAGGAACGUAAUCACUAACACAUGCAGAGACAAGGACAAAAUACAAGAAGGAUGUGCCAGAAGCAUUGUACUAAGAUAAAGAAGUUUGAGAGAAAGGUAAGUUUUUUUACAUACCAUGCUACGAUCUGAACUUAUACACAUUUGCUCCCAAAAGUACUUGGCAAUUUCAACUUCUUCCUCAAUGCUUGGUAACUUUUCCAUCCUAA